AGCGGCUGGGGGUACUGUUUGCUAGCAUAACAAGAAUAUCAAAACAAUUCGCCUCCAGUAUUUGUCAAGAACAGAGAUGUAUGUUAAAUCACCGACACUGCCCUCUUUUGCAGAAUCCAAAAUAUUCAUAAUUUUCUCUCUCAAAUUAAAAGGGGCAGGUUGCAGUCAGUUCAGCCGUUUCCUGCGCCAUGAGAUGAACCAACCCUGGAAGCUGUGACCCUGAGAUAUUGUGUCCUGGAUGACUGUUGAGGACAAGCUGUACCAAGCCCUUCAUGAUGAUGAUGAUGAUGAUGAUGCUGACGACUCCUCAUUGUCACGUCCUUAAUGUCUUCAGACCCUAAGAGAGGCUGGAUGCUGCGGCCUGACCUGAGUACACCGAGCCCUGCCCACAUUCUGACCUCGCCAAUGGAUUCCUGCUAUACGCCACAAGCCUGGCCUCCCUUAACUACAGGAGGGGGUUUGGGUUGCCCCUGACCUCAGUUCGGUCGAAAAGCGGAGCUUAAAGUUUAACUGCUGUUUAACACAAACUGACAAUAGAUAAAUGCUGCAAUUCUUAGAGAAAGAUGUAUGUUCUAAAAGACAAGGUUUGUAAGACUAGACUCACAACCAUACACCCCUCGGUUAAACUGUUAGCACCACAGAUAAUGUCAACACAACACAUGAACAUUGCAUGUUUAUAUACACACAUUUUAUUUAUAUUCUUAAUCAUUUUAUGUUUAUACAUUUUUUUUUUGUGAUGUAUAGGUAUUUCAUUUUCAUUUUUUGAUGUUCACUGUGCUGCUGUCUGAAAUUGAAUUCCCAUACAGGGUAUUACUAAACUUAACCAGGACAACCAUUUCAAAAGCGCAAAUAAGACAUGAGUCAAUUUGGAUGUGUUAUAACUUUAGUUGCUCCUGCGCUUCCUCUUUCCCACUUUAGAUAAUGUAAUCACAAAUUACAAGCCACAUUCCAAUCCUGACUAGUAACCAGCAGUUUAAUCUUUUCAGACACAGAUCUGAGGAAAAAUAUAAAGUUGAAUAUCCAAUUAUGUAACCUUAUGUUUUAAUGUAAUAAAUUGAUCUGAAAUCUGUCGGUAUCCUUCACAGAAGGUAACAGACAUUUGACAUCCAGAAUGUCUUUAUUACUAUUGUAGACAAAGGACUGCAGUAUGACCCACACUUACCUUUGUUUUGUUUGCAUUAUAUUGUUUGAUCAAUUAACUUAUUGUAUUAUUUAUUUAAGGUUUUGAAGGAAGUACUAUGAAAUCCACAUUUAUAUUUUUAUAUAAUUUUACACAUUAUUUUGGCCUCCGUGCCAAUCUGUCGAUAUGCUCUUUAUUUCUUUAUCGUCUUUGUUCUGCAUAUCAUUUACCCCGUGGUUAAUAAAUGUAUUUAUUUAAAAACA